AGAGUUUGAUCCUGGCUCAGGAUGAACGCUGGCGGCGUGCCUAAUACAUGCAAGUCGAACGAGGUGCUUUUGUAGCAAUACGAGAGUAUCCUAGUGGCGAACGGGUGAGUAACGCGUUGGUGACCUACCCCAAAGUGUGGGAUAACAGUCCGAAAGGAUUGCUAAUACCGCAUGUGGUUAUUGGAUUUAGAAACCGGUAACUAAAGGAGCAAUUCGCUUUGGGAGGGACCUGCGUCCCAUCAGCUAGUUGGUGAGGUAAUGGCUCACCAAGGCGACGACGGGUAGGGGACCUGAGAGGGUGACCCCCCACAAUGGAACUGAAACACGGUCCAUACACCUACGGGUGGCAGCAGUAGGGAAUAUUGCUCAAUGGGCGAAAGCCUGAAGCAGCAACGCCGCGUGUGUGAUGAAGGCCUUCGGGUCGUAAAGCACUUUUCUGGGAGAUGAGAAAGGACAGUAUCCCAGGAAUAAGUCUCGGCUAACUACGUGCCAGCCGCCGCGGUAAUAC
rnacentral:rRNA from 1 species